GGGCCCGUAGCUCAGUCAGGUAGAGUAUCGGGCUUUUAACCCGAGGGUCCCGGGUUCGACUCCCGGCGGGCCCG
rnacentral:tRNA from 1 species